rnacentral:rRNA from 1 species
UACGAAGGGGGCUAGCGUUGCUCGGAAUUACUGGGCGUAAAGGGCGCGUGGGCGGCGCAGUUAGUCAGGCGUGAAAUUCCUGGGCUCAACCUGGGGACUGCGCUUGAUACGGCUGUGCUAGAGGAUGGAAGAGGCUCGCGGAAUUCCCAGUGUAGAGGUGAAAUUCGUAGAUAUUGGGAAGAACACCGGUGGCGAAGGCGGCGAGCUGGUCCAUUACUGACGCUGAGGCGCGACAGCGUGGGGGAGCAAACAGG